rnacentral:rRNA from 1 species
AUUGAACGCUGGCGGCAGGCCUAACACAUGCAAGUCGAGCGAGCGGCGGACGGGUGAGUAAUGCCUGGGAAUUGCCCAGUCGAGGGGGAUAACAGUUGGAAACGACUGCUAAUACCGCAUACGAUUGGAUUGCCCAGGUGGGAGUAGCUAGUUGGUGAGGUAAUGGCUCACCAAGGCGACGAUCCCUAGCUGGUCUGAGAGGAUGACAAGCCAAACUGGGACUGAGACACGGGCCAAACGCAUACGGGAGGCAGCAGGGGGGAAUAUUGCAAAAUGGGGGAAACCCUGAUGCAGCCAUGCCGCGUGUGUGAAGAAGGCCUUCGGAUUGUAAAGCACUUUAAGCGAGGAGGCGUUACUCGCAGAGGAAGCACCGGCUAACUCCGUGCCAGCAGCCGCGGUAAUAC